rnacentral:rRNA from 1 species
GAUGAACGCUGGCGGCGUGCCUAAUACAUGCAAGUCGAGCGAACAGACGAGGAGCUUGCUCCUCUGACGUUAGCGGCGGACGUGUGAGUAACACGUGGAUAACCUACCUAUAAGACUGGUAUAACUUCGGGAAUCCGGAGCUAAUACCGUAUAAUAUAUUGAACCGCAUGGUUCAAUAGUGAAAGACGGCUUUUCUGUCACUUAUAGAUGGAUCCGCGCCGCAUUAGCUAGUUGGUAAGGUAACGGCUUACCAAGGCAACGAUGCGUAGCCGACCUGAGAGGGUGAUAGGCCACACUGGAACUGAGACACGGUCAAGACGCCUACGGGAGGCAGCAGUAGGGAAUCUUCCGCAAUGGGCGAAAGCAUGACGGAGCAACGCCGCGUGAGUGAUGAAGGUCUUCGGAUCGUAAAAAUCUGUUAUUAGGGAAGAACAAAUGUGUAAGUAACUAUGCACGUCUUGACGGUACCUAAUCAGAAAGCCACGGCUAACUACGUG